rnacentral:lncRNA from 1 species
CCCCAUGUCCCCUCCUCACUUUUGCUUAACAUGAUGUUUGUUUCCAUUUAGAGGCAUGUUUAGGUUUCACCAUGUUCACCUUUUGCUUCCCUCUUUGAGUGCGGUUUGAUAUGAAACUUUGGUGGUGAUUUUAGGUCUUUCAUUUGUGAGUUCCAUGUUUAAUCUAUUGACUUCUCUUAUCUAAUUUCCUCGUACCAAUCAUUCUUUGUUAAGAAUUGUUGAGUUCUUUUGUUAACUUGAAUGAUUAUUUGCUUUGAUGCUUAUGCUUUUGAACUCAACUCUUGUUUGAAUAUUUGUAUGCCAUGGAUACAUGUUUAAGUUGAAUAUCUUGUUCAUGUUUGUCUCUUCUUUAUUCACCAUGUCCCUUCUGUUUUGUCUUUUUUUGUUAGCACCUAGAUUAGAGGACUAGUUUCCAAUUAGGGUUGUUUCUGACUUUUCCUUUGUGCAAAUUUGUGCUAUCUUUUUCCCAAGCAUGAUUAUUGUUGAUGAUGAGUUUAUUGUGCCUUAGUUUAUGAAUUGUUUGUAUUCUCAUCUUCUUCAUUUCAAUUUAAUUUCUUAUACCAUGCCAUGUUAAGCACUUAACACUUAUAGCCUGGUAUGUUAGCUUGCUUAAAUGUUUACUUACUUUUGGGACUUCUAAUGCUAAAACCCCUUGUGCAUGACACUUAGGGUUUGGUUUGACAUGUCUAAAUGUUUACUUUGAUGAUAAGUUGCUACCUCAUGAAUGUUUGAUAACAUGCUCUUUGCUUGAGUUUUGUUCGCAAUUUGUUUGAGCCUUGUCUCCUAUUACCAUGACUAGUUAAGUUUGGAUGUGUAUCAUGAAAUGUUUGUUUUAAGUUGAGGUAUAUUAAAUCAUGUUUAGACUUAUAUUUUUACCUCUUGUACUUAUUUGCUUGCUUGCUUUGGAAUUAUUUUUAAGUUGUGACUUCUAAUUGUUUAUUUGUCCUUCUACUUGCCUAGUUAGGAGAUUCUCUCUUCUUCUUGACCUAUGUUGCCUUGUUUAAGGUAGGAUUAGGUUGGUAACAUGAUAAGACCAUUAUAUUAUAGUUGUUCAUUAUGUUCUUAUAACAUGUUCAUUUUGUUGGUUAACCUUUGGUUAUGUGCUUUACUUCCUUACUUAUUUAAGUAGGAUAGUUUUUAGGUUAGGAGAUGUUCAUCUCUUGCAUACCUUAACUCUUUCUCUUUAUGGUUUGAUGUGUGAUUGUUUAAUUAUAAUCUUUCCUUCUACCUUGUUGAUUGCUUGGGUGUUCACCUAAUUUUAUGUUCUUUCAUCUUUGAUUUCUGCUUGUUUAAGUAGGUAUUGCUUUAGGUAUCUUGUUUAAGUGUCUAUGUGUGAGUAAGUGUUUACUUCUCAUUAGAUGUGUGAUUGUUUAAUUUUCAUAUCUUUAUUUAUUUUUAAUUGAUGACAUUAAUUCUACUUGUUUCAGUUCUCUUUGUUUUAUCUAUGGUCAUGGUUUGUUACUUGCAUAUGUGUUCACCUAAUUGCUUGUUCUCCUUCUUUGAUGUUUACUUGCUUUCAUUACCUUAUUUAAGUGUGUGAUUGCUUGUUUUCUAUCCUCUUUUUCUUUUUUCCUUUCCUUGUUUGAUUUCAUGUUCCCCAUAGGAUCCUUUAGUUAUUUCUUGGUCAAUAUUGAACAAAGUAUACCUUAGGGUUGGUAUCCAUGUAUGACAACAUUAUCUAGAAGUUUCCUCGAUCCUAACUUUAAGUCCACAUUUCAUGACAACAAGUAGGAUUGAGACUCCCCUUUUGUUACUCCUUUUUAUCUUUUGAAUUCAUUCUAAAACUAAA